rnacentral:rRNA from 1 species
GGCUCAGAACGAACGUGGCGGGCGUGGAUUAGGCAUGCAAGUCGAACGAAGACGUUCGGGUAGCAAUAUUCGAACGGACUGAGUGGCGAAAGGGGCAGUAAUGCGUGGGUAACCUACCCUGGGGAUGGGCAUAGCCGGACUAACGUCCGGGUAAUUCCCAGCGACGUUGCGAGGGGACAUCUUCUUGCAACCAAAUGAGUUUCGCCCUGGGAGGGGCUCACGUCGUAUUAGCUUGUUGGCGGGGUAACGGCCCACCAAGGCAAAGAUGCGUAGCGGGUGUGAGAGCACGACCCGCGCCACUGGCACUGAGACACUGGCCAGACACCUACGGGUGGCUGCAGUCGAGGAUCUUCGGCAAUGGGCGCAAGCCUGACCGAGCGACGCCGCGUGUGCGAUGAAGGCCUUCGGGUUGUAAAGCACUGUCGAGGGGGAUAAAACCGCAAGGUUGAUAGAUCCCUGGAGGAAGCACGGGCUAAGUUCGUGCCAGCAGCCGCGGUAAGACGAACCGUGCGAACGUUGUUCGGAAUCACUGGGCUUAAGGGGCGCGUAGGCGGCUUGCCAAGUCAGGGGUGAAAUCCUGCAGCUCAACUGUAGAAGUGCCUUUGAUACUGGCGAGCUCGAGGGAGGUAGGGGUCGCUGGAACUUCUGGUGGAGCGGUGAAAUGCGUUGAUAUCAGAAGGAACGCCGGUGGCGAAAGCGAGCGACUGGAUCUCUACUGACGCUGAGGCGCGAAAGCUAGGGGAGCAAACGGGAUUAGAUACCCCGGUAGUCCUAGCCCUAAACGAUGAGCACUAGAUUGCAGACUGAUCAUGGGUUUGCAAUCGAAGCAAAAGUGUUAAGUGCUCCGCCUGGGGAGUAUGGUCGCAAGGCUGAAAACUCAAU